UGUUUAUUAAAAACACAGCACUCUGCAAACACGAAAGUGGACGUAUAGGGUGUGAUGCCUGCCCGGUGCUGGAAGGUUAAUUGAUGGUGUUAUCGCAAGAGAAGCUCCUGAUCGAAGCCCCAGUAAACGGCGGCCGUAACUAUAACGGUCCUAAGGUAGCGAAAUUCCUUGUCGGGUAAGUUCCGACCUGCACGAAUGGCAUAAUGAUGGCCAGGCUGUCUCCACCCGAGACUCAGUGAAAUUGAAAUCGCCGUGAAGAUGCGGUGUACCCGCGGCUAGACGGAAAGACCCCGUGAACCUUUACUAUAGCUUGACACUGAACAUUGAAUUUUGAUGUGUAGGAUAGGUGGGAGACUUUGAAGUAGUCACGCCAGUGAUUAUGGAGUCGUCCUUGAAAUACCACCCUUUAACGUUUGAUGUUCUAACGAAGAUUACGAAACGUGGUCUCGGACAGUGUCUGGUGGGUAGUUUGACUGGGGCGGUCUCCUCCCAAAGAGUAACGGAGGAGCACGAAGGUUUGCUAAUGACGGUCGGACAUCGUCAGGUUAGUGCAAUGGUAUAAGCAAGCUUAACUGCGAGACAGACAAGUCGAGCAGGUACGAAAGUAGGUCAUAGUGAUCCGGUGGUUCUGAAUGGAAGGGCCAUCGCUCAACGGAUAAAAGGUACUCCGGGGAUAACAGGCUGAUACCGCCCAAGAGUUCAUAUCGACGGCGGUGUUUGGCACCUCGAUGUCGGCUCAUCACAUCCUGGGGCUGAAGUAGGUCCCAAGGGUAUGGCUGUUCGCCAUUUAAAGUGGUACGCGAGCUGGGUUUAGAACGUCGUGAGACAGUUCGGUCCCUAUCUGCCGUGGGCGUUGGAGAAUUGAUUGGGGCUGCUCCUAGUACGAGAGGACCGGAGUGGACGCACCACUGGUGUUCCGGUUGUGUCGCCAGACGCAUUGCCGGGUAGCUAAGUGCGGAAGAGAUAAGUGCUGAAAGCAUCUAAGCACGAAACUUGCCAAGAGAUGAGUUCUCCCAGAUUAUAAAUCUGUAAGGGUUGUUUAAGACUAAGACGUAGAUAGGCAUGGUGUGUAAGUGGUGCGAGCCAUUGAGCUAACAUGUACUAAUUGCCCGAGAGGCUUAGCCAU
rnacentral:rRNA from 1 species